rnacentral:rRNA from 1 species
UACGUAGGGAGCAAGCGUUGUCCGGAAUCAUUGGGCGUAAAGCGCGCGUAGGUGGCUCCAUAAGUCCGUUGUGAAAGUCAAAGGCUCAACCUUUGAAAGCCGAUGGAUACUGUGGAGCUAGAGUACGGAAGAGGCGAGUGGAAUUCCUGGUGUAGCGGUGGAAUGCGCAGAUAUCAGGAGGAACACCUGAGGUGAAGACGGGUUGCUGGGCCAACACUGACGCUGAGGCGCGAAAGCCAGGGGAGCAAACGGG